GCCUUCGUGGUGUAACGGUAGCACACUCGGUUGGUCUUCGAGAGGUUCAGGUUCGAAACCCGACGAGGGAA
rnacentral:tRNA from 1 species